UACGUAGGGUCCAAGCGUUAUCCGGAAUCACUGGGCGUAAAGCGUGCGCAGGCGGUUGUGCAAGACAGAUGUGAAAUCCCCGGGCUCAACCUGGGAAUUGCAUUUGUGACUGCACGGCUAGAGUGUGUCAGAGGGGGGUAGAAUUCCACGUGUAGCAGUGAAAUGCGUAGAGAUGUGGAGGAACACCGAUGGCGAAGGCAGCCCCCUGGGUCAAGAUUGACGCUCAUGCACGAAAGCGUGGGGAGCAAACAGG
rnacentral:rRNA from 1 species